rnacentral:rRNA from 1 species
UCAGUUGUGAAAGUUUGCGGCUCAACCGUAAAAUUGCAGUUGAUACUGGAUGUCUUGAGUGCAGUUGAGGCAGGCGGAAUUCGUGGUGUAGCGGUGAAAUGCUUAGAUAUCACGAAGAACUCCGAUUGCGAAGGCAGCCUGCUAAGCUGCAACUGACAUUGAGGCUCGAAAGUGUGGGUAUCAAACAGGAUUAGAUACCCUGGUAGUCCACACGGUAAACGAUGAAUACUCGCUGUUUGCGAUAUACGGCAAGCGGCCAAGCGAAAGCGUUAAGUAUUCCACCUGGGGAGUACGCCGGCAACGGUGAAACUCAAAGGAAUUGACGGGGGCCCGCACAAGCGGAGGAACAUGUGGUUUAAUUCGAUGAUACGCGAGGAACCUUACCCGGGCUUAAAUUGCACUCGAAUGAUCCGGAAACGGUUCAGCUAGCAAUAGCGAGUGUGAAGGUGCUGCAUGGUUGUCGUCAGCUCGUGCCGUGAGGUGUCGGCUUAAG